CUGGGGAUGCAGCUCAGUGGUAGAGCACUUGCCUAGCAUGCAUGAGGCCCUGGCUGGCUUCAAUCCCUAGUACCAGA
rnacentral:tRNA from 1 species